UCUAUUACCCAGGCUGGAGUGCGGUGGCAUGAUCUCGGCUCACUGCAAACUCUGCCUCCCCAGUUCAAAUGAUUCUUCUGCCUUCUGCCUCAGCCUCCCAAAUAGCUGGAACUACAGGCCAACUUUUCUACCAGAUAACCCUGACCUCAUCCUGUCAGAAUUGAAUGGACCAAGAAUUGAGCUACCCUAAAAGUGCCCACUUUGCUUGUGGGAUUUAGGAGGAAAUGCCACACACUGUCAUAGAAAAAAUGGCGUCUCACUCUAUUGCCCAGGCUAGAGUACAAUAGUGCAAUCUUGGCUCACUGCAACCUCCCCCUCCCAGGUUCAAGCCAUUCUCCUGCCUCAGCCUCCCGAGUAGCUAGAACUACAAGCACGUGCACUGUACCCAGCUAAUUUUUUGUAUUUUUAGCAGAGACGGGGUUUCUCCAUGUUGGCCAGGCUGGUCUCGAACUCCUGACCUCAGGUAAUCCACCGCCUCAUCCUCCCAAAAUGCAUUAUCUCUUCCCAAAAUGCAUUAUCUAUUUCAUUAAGAAAAAGGAGAAAGCAACCAUGCUAAGCUUCAAAUAAAAGCAUGUGAGCACACCUGAUGACGCUAGACCCACUGGAAUCUCGCAUAACUCAUCCUGAACGUGUUGGGAAUCAAGUCUCUCAGGAUUAGCCCUGGUAAUCUGAAAGUCACCAGUCAUCAAGAAGUGGCAUCUCUACCAUGUGGUGCAAUCAUAGCCCUGAACUCAAAUUUCUGUCUGAUAUAUUUGAUGUGAUCCCUCCUUUUAUACCCUUUUAACUUCUGCUUGGAGAGACCCACUGACCUUGUAGCUGACUGUCAGAACUUUUCCUUGCCAGGCCAGCAAUAAAUUUGGCAUUGUUUUGGACAUUGAUUUGGUGGUCUUUGUUUCUUAGUGCUCAACAAUUUUAAUAGAGUCAGAAUCCAGAGAUAUAAUGGAUAAGCAGACUAUUAAUAAAGCACUAUUCACAAUUGCAAAGACUUGAAACCAACCCAAAUGCCCAAC
rnacentral:lncRNA from 10 species